rnacentral:lncRNA from 1 species
CUGUUUGAACAUUGUUAUACUGCUUAUUAUAAUCUGGUUUGUUUUACGAAUAAUUGUUAGCUUAUUUUAACAGUUAACUAGAGUAAUCAUUAAAGGAAUCAGAGUAAUGAAUUAUAAUGUUAUAAUCAAGUGUAAUUUUCACUUGAAAAAUUUUAUCAAGAUUUUUGCAGUAGUUGUAAAACUAAUUUUCCCAUUCUGGUAAAUCAUUCCAUAGAAUUAUUAAAUAUAGAAACGUAUAAUCAAGCCGGUAAAUAAGUGAGACAAGGUCUUGUGUUAUCUAAUCAGUUAUCAAGGGACAUGCCUUUAUAUCCCUUCGCUUGGUAAGAACAACAGAUUAGCCAACAGUUCUGUUUGAUCUAGUCAUUCUCGUGGCCAAGGAUGGAUAACCAGUAUUAAUGGACGCCAUUUAGACAACUGACACCGACCCCCAGAUGUUACUCGCCACAAUUAUUGCAGCAAUUAAGAAAAAAGUCAAAGAAAUAGAGGAAAAGGAAGACACGGAACAAUGGACAAUACGAAG